UUCUUUAAACAACUGGCACUUGUAGAAAUGACACUUAAUUAAUAGGAUAUGUUUCUUAUAAGCACUACUCUGGACUAAACAUUUGCACACACACACUCUCUUCCUCCUUCCUCUUGUCUCUUCACAAAACUUCCUCCGAAAACCAACAGGUUUUGUGGGGUUUGUUUGGAUAAGAGCUCUCACUGCUCUGGACGGAGGAAGGCAGGAGCCAUGAGCUCGCAGGAAACAGACGCAGGCGCGCGCUUUGAACUCAGCCGGUAUUAUGCGGUCGGAUGCCACCCGGUUGCCCUGGUGACGGCGGUGAUUCGGUGAUUCUCUUUUUUGCCCUCUCUACAAUAAAGUUAGUCCAAACCCGUGGGCAGAGUUUUCCUUUAAACGGCUAUAACGCGCAGACUCUCAGACGCCACAUGCAAUGAAAAAAAAUCAUCAUUGUCAGUUUGUUAAAAAGAAACCAGAGUGUCUCAUUUUCUCACCUUUUAACGACCCUGCACAUUUUUCACAUUCUUCAGGACAGCACUAUUAGUCUCACUAAACAACUUAAAUAGUCUAACUGUCAUAGCCUGGAUGCAAAUAAAUAAUAAAACAAACAAACAAAUAAAUAAAUAAAAGCAAUAUAAACAUCAGUAGUAGCCUAAAUCUGACCAUGCAACAUUACAAUAUUAUAAGAGACUGAACAAAACGAAAUGAGAUUCAUUUAUAGAUUAAAAAAAUAAUCUGAGAUGUUUGUUAAUUUUAAUACACCUGUUUCAUUAAACUAAUUACCCAGAAUGCACCGCAUGCUUUUUAUUUUGUGCAGCAAAAAUUUGCAGACUCAAAUAUUCCCAUGAAAUAACUGUGUACAGAUCAAAUGCUUUACUCUUUAAUAAACAGCUAACUAGUGAAUAUUAUAUUUACAUCAGAAAGGAUGAUCAGAAAAUGAAGAAGGAAGAAAUGAGAAGGAAACUCAUACAGGGUGAAGGAGAAAAAUAACUGCAGCAUUCUCCUGUCACUGCAUGUGUUCUACAACGUCGUCGUCUCAUCUCUCACUCCACUUCCUCUUCCUCAACAGCUCAGCCUCACUGUGCUUGUUUUCAAAAUGGAAAUAUUCAUAUGUGAAAUAAAUGCAGUGAAAUAUUUUCAUUUAAAGCAAUACUUCAGCGGUUUUCAACUCAAUCGUUGUCUGCUGCACAAGUCGGUAAUUUGUCAUUACCACACACACGAAUUUCAACACGUUCCCUGCAGUGAGAAAACAACAGAAAACCUGUCUACUCAAAAUGCAGUUACAAUAGAAGUCUAAGGGCAGAUGUUGAAUUAUGUAAACUGUAUGUCUAUA